GCUGGUGUAGCUCAGCUGGUAGAGCAACUGACUUGUAAUCAGUAGGUCGACGGUUCAAAUCCGCCCACCAGCU
rnacentral:tRNA from 1 species